AUUGAACGCUGGCGGCAGGCCUAACACAUGCAAGUCGAACGGUAACAGGAAACAGCUUGCUGUUUCGCUGACGAGUGGCGGACGGGUGAGUAAUGUCUGGGAAACUGCCUGAUGGAGGGGGAUAACUACUGGAAACGGUAGCUAAUACCGCAUAACGUCGCAAGACCAAAGAGGGGGACCUUCGGGCCUCUUGCCAUCGGAUUUGCCCAGAUGGGAUUAGCUAGUAGGUGGGGUAACGGCUCACCUAGGCGACGAUACCUAGCUGGUCUGAGAGGAUGACCAGCCACACUGGAACUGAGACACGGUCCAGACUCCUACGGGAGGCAGCAGUGGGGAAUAUUGCACAAUGGGCGCAAGCCUGAUGCAGCCAUGUCGCGUGUAUGAAGAGGGCCUUCGGGUUGUAAAGUACUUUCAGCGGGGAGGAAGGGAGUAAAGUUAAUACCUUUGCUCAUUGACGUUACCCGCAGAAGAAGCACCGGCUAACUCCGUGCCAGCCGCCGCAGUAA
rnacentral:rRNA from 1 species